CCAUCUUCCUGUCGCCGACGUCCGGGUGUGGGCGCCGCGCGUUGAUGCUGGUGGCUUCCAUCCUUGGUUCUUCUCCUUCCGCCACCGGUGCGCGCUCGCGCAAGUUUCCAUUUGCUGCUGCUGCUGCUGCUGCGGGUCGACCUGUGGGGGGUUAGAAUCGGCGAACUCUUCUGUUCCCCUUCCUUUGUUCUGCCUCUCUGGCUUUACUGUGUGAGUGGGGCACAGAGGACGGAGUUUUAAGCAAGCUGAAUUUGAAGUUUACCGAGCUCUUUUGAUAGAGCUCGACUGGGGAAAGGUCCUCCUCACAAGAUGUCUAGAGUAGAGGAAGACGAAGACGCGGAGAAGCGUCAUCAAUUGAAGCUUGAAGAAGCCCUAGAAAUCAAAUCGCUCAGGCGUAUAAUCAGUGCUUACCUCAACUAUCCUGAUGCUUCUGAAGAGGAUGUCAGAAGAUAUGAAAGAUCUUUCAGGAAACUUCCACCUGCACACAAGGCUUUAUUAUCUCAUUAUCCUCAGAAGAUUCAAAGGUUGCGCCGGUGUAUCUCCAUAAAUUCUUAUUUCAUAUUCAACAUGCUUCAGGCAUUUGAACCUCCGCUUGAUAUGAGCCAGGACAUAGAUAUGGAUGAGAACCUGCACACUGCAGUUGCCCAAGAAGAAGAUCAUGCCAUUAAAGAAAACAAUGCUUGCUUGCAUGAGUCAGCCUCAAAAGCAGAAACAUGUUCUUCAGCAAAAAAUCAACAAGAUUGUGGGGAAUGUUGCAUUGAUACAUGUAGAUCAUCAGUACUGGUCUGUAUUAGUGAGGAGGUGGAUGUUGAGGGUCACCAUCAGUUAAAUACUGGCAGCCAGUCUCCAUGUUCAAUAGAUACCAAAGAGACAGACAAAUGUGAUGGAAAUUUUAUGCUUGAUCCCAAUAGAAAUGCAUCCUCAUUGCGACAAGAAUGGUUGGAUCCAUCUUUUCAAUUGAAUGUUCCUUUAGUUGAUGUAGAUAAGGUCCGUUGUAUAAUAAGGAAUAUAGUUAGAGACUGGGCAGCAGAGGGUCAAAAGGAACGUGACCAGUGCUACAAGCCUAUACUUGAAGAACUCAAUGCCUUGUUUCCUAAUCGCAGUAAAGAGAGCCCACCUGCUUGUUUAGUGCCUGGUGUUGGACUUGGUCGGCUGGCCUUGGAGAUUUCAUGUUUAGGAUUUAUCUGCCAGGGAAAUGAAUUUUCAUACUACAUGAUGAUAUGCUCAAGUUUUAUUCUUAACCACACCCAAACUGCUGGUGAAUGGACGAUAUAUCCUUGGAUACACAGUAAUUGUAAUUCUUUGUCAGAUAGUGAUCAACUUCGUCCUGUUUCGAUUCCUGAUAUUCAUCCUGCCAGUGCAGGUAUCACUGAAGGCUUUUCCAUAUGUGGUGGUGACUUUGUUGAAGUCUACAGUGAUCCAAGCCAAAUAGGUGCUUGGGAUGCAGUUGUGACCUGUUUCUUUAUUGAUACUGCGCAUAAUAUAGUUGAAUAUAUUGAAAUAAUAUCACAAAUUUUAAAAAACGGGGGAGUUUGGAUUAAUUUGGGUCCUCUACUUUAUCACUUUGCAGACAUGUAUGGACAAGAAGAUGACAUGUCCAUUGAAUUGAGUUUGGAAGAUGUUAAAAGGGUUGCUUUGCAUUAUGGAUUUGAAUUUGAGAAAGAAAAUACCAUUGAGACAACCUACACUACAAAUCCUAGAUCAAUGAUGCAAAAUCGUUACUUCGCUGCUUUUUGGGUUAUGAGGAAAAAAUCUCCUGCACCUCAGCAAGUGACCUGAUAAUAGCAGGCUCAACUUUUGGAACACAAGCUUAGUCCCCUUCCCUGGUCUGGCUUUCUUCUAUUUGCUGGGGUGGGGAUAUUUGUGUGCAUUUAUGGAGUCACGAUGAGGAGAUGAGUGUGCUUGUUGAAGAUUUCCGUCAUUUGCUGGGGGCUUGCAGGAUUUUAUGUCAUGUUAUUGAUGAAUGUGCCACUGCACGACGCUCCUCAUCUCGCAGCGUAGCCGUAGCAUUGAAAUCCCCACACAACUAUGCCGUGGGUUCAUACGAACUACAAACCUUCAUAUUUAUCCUGGGUCGAUAGGGUCGUCGUCCCCGCUCAUGAUGUCACUUCCUUACUAGCUACAGCUCCCUCUGUUUCGGUCUUUGGGCCUCUAACCUGAGUCUUUAUUUUGGGCGUGGUAAAGUUUAGGUGAGCUGGGUUGAGAGCUUAUUAGGGAAUGUUUCCAGGUUCAAUGACCAUUUAAAUAAGUACUUACAAAUUUCUUACUAACCGAGUUUUCAUAUCAACAGUGAGAUUUGAUCUCAUGAUUUUAUUGAGUUAUGAAUCAAAUUUUUAUCUA